ensembl:lncRNA
GUCUAAACAUGAAAUGAGAAACAAGGUCUAAACAUGAAAUGAGAAACGAGUUCUAAACAUGAAAUGAAGUCUAAACAUGAAACGAGAAACGAGGUCUAAACAUGAAACGAGGUCUAAACAGGAAACGAGAAACGAGGUCUGAACAUGAAACGAGAAAUGAGGUCUAAACAUGAAAUGAAGUCUAAACAUGAAACGAGGUCUAAACAUGAAAUGAGAAACGAGGUCUAAACAUGAACGAGGUCUAAACAUGAAACAACGUCUAAACAUGAAAUGAGAAACGAGGUUUAAACAUGAACGAGGUCUAAACAUGAAACGAGGUCUAAACAAGAAACGAGAAACGAGGUCUGAACAUGAAACGAGAAACAAGGUCUAAACAUGAAACAAGGUCUAAACAUGAAAUGAGAAACGAGGUCUAAACAUGAAACGUGGUCUAAACAUGAAACGAGAAACGAGGUCUAAACAUGAAAUGAGAAACGAGGUCUAAACAUGAACGAGGUCUAAACAUGAAACGAGAAAUGACGUCUAAACAUGAAACGAGAAACGAGGUCUAAACAUGAACAAGGUCUAAACAUGAAACGAGGUCUAAACAAGAAACAAGGUCUAAACAUGAAACAAGGUCUAAACAUGAAACGAGAAACGAGGUCUAAACAUGAAACAAGGUCUAAACAUGAAAC